rnacentral:rRNA from 1 species
GGGGAAUUUUGGACAAUGGGCGCAAGCCUGAUCCAGCCAUGCCGCGUGCAGGAUGAAGGCCUUCGGGUUGUAAACUGCUUUUGUACGGAACGAAAAGGUGCCUUCUAAUAAAGGGCGCUCAUGACGGUACCGUAAGAAUAAGCACCGGCUAACUACGUGCCAGCAGCCGCGGUAAUACGUAGGGUGCGAGCGUUAAUCGGAAUUACUGGGCGUAAAGCGUGCGCAGGCGGUUUUGUAAGACAGAGGUGAAAUCCCCGGGCUCAACCUGGGAACUGCCUUUGUGACUGCAAGGCUGGAGUGCGGCAGAGGGGGAUGGAAUUCCGCGUGUAGCAGUGAAAUGCGUAGAUAUGCGGAGGAACACCGAUGGCGAAGGCAAUCCCCUGGGCCUGCACUGACGCUCAUGCACGAAAGCGUGGGGAGCAAACA